UUUCCGUAGGUGAACCUGCGGAAGGAUCAAUAAAGUUAUAGUCCCCUGGCCCUCUGGGCUGGGGUCUUCUAUACCACCCUUUGUUUAUUACACCUUUGUUGCUUUGGCAGGCCUGCCCUCGGGCUGCUGGCUCCGGCCGGCUCGCGUCUGCCAGAGGACCUAAACUCUGUUUGUAUAUGAAGUCUGAGUACUAUAUAAUAGUUAAAACUUUCAACAACGGAUCUCUUGGUUCUG
rnacentral:misc_RNA from 1 species